rnacentral:lncRNA from 1 species
GUUACGGAUAUUUCAAUUUCUUUUCUGUUGUCACCAUUCAUGAUUACAGGUUUCUUGGUUCUGAUGUUGAGGAAGUUAUGAAGAGUUUGGAUGAUAAGAUAAAGACCUGCAAUGAGAAGAUAAAGAGCCUUGAGAGCAACAAGGCCUACUUGGAAAAGAGCCUCAAGGAGUCCGAGAACAACCUUAGGGAAAUGAUUGUUCAAAAGCAGAGCAUGCAUUGACAUGGCAAGGUUAGGUACUUAACACGCGACAUUAAUUAUUUAUGCAAAUGUUAGGAAAAUGUUACCACAUCAGAAAUCAUUCGAACCAUGGGCACCCAAAGUGAUGCUGUAAAAUACCUUCAUUAGUUUGUUGGGACGCCUUGUUUUCAUUACCUGCCUGUGGGGAAACCAUUAAUUUAUCUUAUCUGGAAAAUAUACUGAGCUUUUCUCUAUGGUUAUAUUGUUUUGUGCAAAACAACCAAGAAGUCAUUUUGUACACUGUGAGUUUGCCUCGAUUUUCUAAAAUAAACAGUUGAUGUGAAACUGAAA